rnacentral:rRNA from 1 species
GAUGAACGCUGGCGGCGUGCCUAAUACAUGCAAGUCGAGCGAACAGAUAAGGAGCUUGCUCCUUUGACGUUAGCGGCGGACGGGUGAGUAACACGUGGAUAACCUACCUAUAAGACUGGGAUAACUUCGGGAAACCGGAGCUAAUACCGGAUAACAUGUUGAACCGCAUGGUUCAACAGUGAAAGACGGUCUUGCUGUCACUUAUAGAUGGAUCCGCGCCGCAUUAGCUAGUUGGUAAGGUAACGGCUUACCAAGGCAACGAUGCGUAGCCGACCUGAGAGGGUGAUCGGCCACACUGGAACUGAGACACGGUCCAGACUCCUACGGGAGGCAGCAGUAGGGAAUCUUCCGCAAUGGGCGAAAGCCUGACGGAGCAACGCCGCGUGAGUGAAGAAGGUCUUCGGAUCGUAAAACUCUGUUAUUAGGGAAGAACAAAUGUGUAAGUAACUAUGCACGUCUUGACGGUACCUAAUCAGAAAGCCACGGCUAACUACGUG